rnacentral:ncRNA from 1 species
AAUAAUAUGUACUUCAGAAUCUCAGUAAAUGACGAGUGGAUAUCCGUAUGAGCUAUACCGAAGCGAUGUUCGAGGUUUAGCCUUAAAUUUUAUUCUUGCUUAUUUUUUUUUUUCUUCUAAAGAUUACAUGGUAGUUUAGUAUACUUAAGGUUCAUUAUUCAUUAAUUUAUAUUAUUUAUCAGGUUAUUCUGGAAAUAGUUAUAGAAUAAGUAUUGGCUUAUUUCGUGCCAGCAGCUGCGGUUAUACGAUUAUAUACAAUAAAAAAUUAUUGGUUGACAGUUAAUUAUAUUUUGAGAAUUAAAUAAAUAUUAUUUGGUGAAAUAUUAAUAUUUAUUUUCUUUUAUAUUGAAGCUGUUAAAUUUUUAAUUAAACUAGGAUUAGAUACCCUAUUAUUUGAAAUGUAAAUUUUAAUAGCCUGGGUACUAUUAGUUAAGUUCUUUAAACUCAAAGAAUUUGGCGGUAUUUUAUCUAUUUAGAGGAACCUGUUCUAUAAUUGAUGCCUCACUGUUUACUUUACUUAAUUUAUUUGUUUGUAUAUCUCCGUUAUCAGAAAAUCUUUUUGGAGAAAAAAUUUUCUUGUUUUUUUAUUAAAAUUUAUUUCAGGUCAAGGUGCAGCUUAUAGUUAAGUGUAUGAUGGGUUACAAUAAUUUUUUUUUAUUAUGGAUUUAAUUUUGUAAUAUUUUAAUGAAGGUGGAUUUGAUAGUAAUUUAAAUUAUUUAAUUUAACUGAUAUUGGCUCUGAAGUGUGUACACAUCCGCCCGUCACUCUCGUUAUUAAUUGAAUUUCUAAUUUAUUUUAUAUGAGACAAGUCGUAACAUAGUAGGAGGUACUGGAAAGUGCAUUUAG